rnacentral:rRNA from 1 species
GGGGAAUAUUGGACAAUGGACCGAGAGUCUGAUCCAGCAAUUCUGUGUGCACGAUGAAGUUUUUCGGAAUGUAAAGUGCUUUCAGUUGGGAAGAAAAAAAUGACGGUACCAACAGAAGAAGUGACGGCUAAAUACGUGCCAGCAGCCGCGGUAAUACGUAUGUCACAAGCGUUAUCCGGAUUUAUUGGGCGUAAAGCGCGUCUAGGUGGUUAUGUAAGUCUGAUGUGAAAAUGCAGGGCUCAACUCUGUAUUGCGUUGGAAACUGCAUGACUAGAGUACUGGAGAGGUAAGCGGAACUACAAGUGUAGAGGUGAAAUUCGUAGAUAUUUGUAGGAAUGCCGAUGGGGAAGCCAGCUUACUGGACAGAUACUGACGCUAAAGCGCGAAAGCGUGGGUAGCAAACAGGAUUAGAUACCCUGGUAGUCCACGCCGUAAACGAUGAUUACUAGGUGUUGGGGGUCGAACCUCAGCGCCCAAGCUAACGCGAUAAGUAAUCCGCCUGGGGAGUACGUACGCAAGUAUG